rnacentral:tRNA from 1 species
GACAGGAUAGCCAAGUGGUCAAAGGCGCUACGUUCAGGUCGUAGUCUCAUGGAGUUCAAGGGUUCGAAUCCCUUUCCUGUUA